rnacentral:rRNA from 1 species
CCUAGGGUGGCAGCAGUGGGGAAUAUUGGACAAUGGGCGAAAGCCUGAUCCAGCCAUGCCGCGUGUGUGAAGAAGGCCUUCGGGUUGUAAAGCACUUUCAGUGGGGAAGAAAGCCUUGGGGCUAAUACCCUCGAGGAAGGACAUCACCCACAGAAGAAGCACCGGCUAACUCCGUGCCAGCAGCCGCGGUAAUACGGAGGGUGCGAGCGUUAAUCGGAAUUACUGGGCGUAAAGCGCGCGUAGGCGGUCUGAUAAGCCGGUUGUGAAAGCCCCGGGCUCAACCUGGGAACGGCAUCCGGAACUGUCAGGCUAGAGUGCAGGAGAGGAAGGUAGAAUUCCCGGUGUAGCGGUGAAAUGCGUAGAGAUCGGGAGGAAUACCAGUGGCGAAGGCGGCCUUCUGGACUGACACUGACGCUGAGGUGCGAAAGCGUGGGUAGCAAACAGGAUUAGAUACCCCGGUAGUC